rnacentral:rRNA from 1 species
UACGUAGGGUGCUAGCGUUGUUCGGAAUCAUUGGGCGUAAAGCGCGUGUAGGCGGUUAGUUAAGUCGGGUGUGAAAUCCCUGGGCUCAACCGAGGAGGUGCAUCCGAAACUAACUAGCUAGAGAAUGGUAGAGGAAGGUGGAAUUCCGUGUGUAGAGGUGAAAUUCGUAGAUAUACGGAGGAAUACCGGUGGCGAAGGCGGCCUUCUGGACCAUUUCUGACGCUGAGACGCGAAAGCGUGGGGAGCAAACAGG